UGAUCAAUGGUUCUGUGUCAGGGUGGAGGCCUGUCGCAGGCGGUGUCCCUCAGGGGUUGGUCUUGGGACUGGUGCUCUUCAGUAUAGAAUCAUAGAAUCAUAGAAUCGCUAAGGUUGGAAAAGACCCACAAGAUCAUCCAGUCCAACCAUCCACCCAUCACCAAUAGUUCUCGCUAAACCAUGUCCCUCAACACAACAUCCACACGCUCUUUGAACACCACCAGGCUCGGUGAUUCCACCACCUCUCUGGGCAGCCCAUUCCAGUGCCUGACCACCCUUUCAGAGAAGUAGCAUUUCCUAAUGUCCAGCCUGAACCUUCCCUGGUGCAGCUUGAAGCCAUUCCCUCUAGUCCUAUCACCAGUCACCCGAGAGAAGAGGCUGACCCCCAGCUCACUACAACCUCCCUUCAGGUAGUUAUAGAGAGCUAUAAGGUCUCCCCUGAGCCUCCUCUUCUCUAGACUGAACAAUCCCAGCUCCUUCAGCUGCUCCUCAUAAGGCCUGUGCUCCAGACCCCUCACCAGCUUUGUUGCCCUUCUCUGGACACACUCCAGGGCCUCGAUGUCUUUCUUACAGUGAGGGGCCCAAAACUGGACACAGUACUUGAGGUGCGGCCUCACCAGUGCUGAGUACAGAGGGACAAUUACUUCCCUGUUCCUGCUGGCCACACUAUUUCUGAUACAAGCCAGGAUGCCCUUGGCCUUCUUGGCCACCUGGACACACUGCUGGCUCAUGUUCAGUCUAG
ensembl:lncRNA